AAGCCCAAGAGCAAAGGAGCCCAGAUGGUAAAAUCUGCAGCCCAGCUGACAAAGUGUUGAUCAGAAGAAUGUGGACAAUGGCUCUUGGGGAAGAGUGAAAUUGAGGAUUAUCAUCUCAUAUCGGGAAAAGUCUUUUAAGUGGUCCUGAUUUCCCUUCCUUCUUCAAUCUUGCCUGAACUUAGUGACUUGCUGAACCAGUAGAAUAUUUCAGAAGUUAUGUUUGAAGAUUUUGAGGCUCAGACGUAAGAAGCCUUGUGACAUUCACCUGGAUUUCUUGGAAUAUUUUUUUCUUGGCAUACUACCUCUCCAAAUGCAGCUGCCACACUUUGAGAAGACCAUGCCACAUGUGCAGCCCAUGAUGCUGCUGGUCCACUUUGAAGAACAUGGGCUUAGAGAAGCCUAAAAUUGAAGAGAAGUAAACAUUUAAUACAAAGAGAGAUGGAUUUUACUCUUGGAGGAAAAGCAACUCACCAAAAGCUCUUCUGUUGUCUGAAGUCUCGUGAGAUGAAAUGCACACGCCGAAACAGCAUCUUCUAUGAACCACAGUGGGAGGAUAUUACAUUAAAAUUGCUUGCUCGAUGUUAACCCCCAGUAUUGUUUUCUGCAGGUGCCAGGUCUGGUUCGGGGAUGAAGCUCAAAGUUAAAACCAAAUCAAUUGCAUACACAGGUGGUUAGACUAGAAUGUGUUUGAAUCUUUACGUUAGAAUGAUUCCAGAAAGUAGUAGGAAAAAUCUUCUGGGAGAAACGAUGCCAGCAUAAACAGUCAUGAGCAGCUUCAGACGCAAUUGACCCUUUCUAUGCUCACUCUUUCUAUCUAUUAAUAUUUACUUUGCUGUUUUUCAAGUUUAUCACAAAGCAGAAAAAGAGGAGUAUCUGAAUACAAAGGAGGCGGAGUUAGGCUGUGUAGGCAUGAAAAUCAAAACUGUUCAA